GCCCUCCGCCCCCGCCGCGGGGAACUCUGGGACUGUCGCUCCGGCCCGUGCCGGAAGCUUCGGCGCGGCAGCGCGACACGAGACUCCCCAGUUCCGGCCAAGCAGUGCCGCUAGCGAAGCGCGCAGAGCUGCCCGGGUGGCCCCCCGCGCACCCUGUGUUCCGGAGGCACCGUGAAGAAGCCCUCUUUACGAAUACACUUCAGACGGAUCUGCUCCGACUCUAGGUCUGGCUCCGCCAUGCCCAGCGCUGGCCACGCCUCCUGUGCGCGCAGGCGCAGACGCGGACGGCCCCGCGGCGCGUGCGCGAAAGCUCCUUUCCGGGCUUCCUCUCCUUACCAACGGUUACCAAGAGACGCUCCCGCGGGUCCGCCCUAGGCGCUCCGCCCCAGGGACCCGCUCCGACUGCUGCAGUUCGGGCCUUAUUUUAGGGUGAAGCCCGGGCACCCGACCCGGCUGCGCCGUAGUGGGAGGCCACGGCGAUUAUUCAGAUGAAGGUCUUCCAGGACCCACUGGCUGAUGAUGGCUUCACUGGACCUGCCAACUACUCCUAGAGUCCCACCCAGAAGUGACUCAGCAAAGGAGGGUCCUGUCUCACCUUACGAUGGCCCCCCCAACCAGCCAGCAGCAAGCACCACAACCAGCCAGCAGCAAGCACCACUGCCCGGCUACCCUACCCUUUCCCCCAAACGACCUUUGGAAAACCCGUCCCUGAGUUCUUGGGGAGACUGAUUUCAGUAAUAAUCACUUGUCCAUGUGAAUUAAACCCUUUCUAUAUUGCAGUUUC